rnacentral:rRNA from 1 species
CCCUGCCAUUUGUACACACCGCCCGUCGCACCUACCGAUUGGAUGGUCCGAUGAAACCUCCGGACUUGGGCCGUGCUUCCUUUUGGAGGCACAGCUCGGGGAAGCUGGUUAAAUCUUACCAUCUAGAG